rnacentral:pre_miRNA from 1 species
UUAGUACUCCCUCUGUCCCAAAUUUCUUGUCUUAGAUUUGUCUAGAUAUGGAUGUAUCUAAUACUAAAAUGUGACUUGAUACAUCUGUAUCUAGACAAAUCUAAGACAAGAAUUUUGGGACGAAGGGAGUAGAAC